rnacentral:lncRNA from 1 species
ACCAUCAUCCGCAACGGGAAGCAUAAGUUCAGGAUUAUUAAAACCGAGUUUCGAUGUCCAAACAUGGAGCUCAGACGGGCAAACCACACUCAACCUAAAUCAUCGUAGGCAGGUCCAAAGGGGGAGGCAGAUCAGUACUUGUAGUCCUUGACGUGGAGGCUCUCCGAGACGCCCUCGCCGGCGGCGGCAUCACCCUUGUACGUGCCGAGGGUGGCCUCUGAGUUGGCCUUGCACCUGGUGAGGAAGGCAGCCCUGGCCUUCUCCACAUUCUCCACCUUGCCACCCCACGCCUUGAGGGUGCUCGCCUGAAGGGCACGGCCAAAGGAGAAAGACAGGGACCACGGCUUCUUGGUGUUGAGCUUGUUCAUUGCGUUGAGGUUCAGGGUGGCCUCCUCCUCGCUCUGUCCACCAGAGAGGAAGACGAUGGCGGGCACGGCAGCAGGGACGGUCCUCUGGAGGGAACGGACAGUGUACUCAGCAAUCACCUCAGGGGCCACUUUCUUGGCGUCGGAGCCGGGGGUGACCAUGUUGGGCUUCAGGAGGGUACCCUCGAGGAGGACAUGAUGCUCGUUCAGAGCCUUGUAGCAGGCAGCAAGGACCACCUCAGUGAUAUAAGCGCAGCGCUCAAUGUCAUGCGACCCAUCAACAAGGAUCUCAGGCUCAACAAUUGGCACCAGACCGUUCUCCUGGCAGAUGAUGGCAUAGCGAGCCAGACCCUGAGCAUUCAGGUCAAUGGCCAGCUGCGACGGCUCGUUGGGGCCAAUGUUAAGGACAGCACGCCACUUGGCAAAGCGGGCACCGGCCUCAUAGUACUUGGCGCAGCGCUUGCCAAGGUCAUCAUGACCCUGGGUGGUGGUCUCCUUGUUGGUGCCAGCAACCUCGAUGGUACCCUUGUCGACCUUGAUGCCGGGGAGGACGCCUCCCUCAUUGAGGACAUCGACGAAGGGCUUGCCGUCCUUGGUCUUCUGGUAGAGGGUCUCCU